CACUGGUCGAGUCGGCCUGCGCGGAAGAUGUAACGGGGCUAAACCAUGCACCGAAGCUGCGGCAGCGAACGUAUCACCCAAGACAACUUUACGGAGUUGACGAUUGACGGAGCGAAGCGACGUCAAAGCGUUCAUUAAAGUCGAGUUGGCUUAGGGAUACGUUCGUUGGGUAGGGGAGCGUUCUGUAAGCCUGUGAAGGUGUGUCGUGAGGCAUGCUGGAGGUAUCAGAAGUGCGAAUGCUGACAUAAGUAACGAUAAAGCGGGUGAAAAGCCCGCUCGCCGGAAGACCA
rnacentral:rRNA from 1 species